CGCUUUACUGUUCCCUGGCAUGGGCGUCUCGGCCCUUCCUGCGCCAGCCUAUAGGGUGGGAGGCACCAGAAGCUCCUCUUCCGGGAGGUCAAGCCAUCGUGAGAGACCACCCUGGGACAGGGCUAAGUAUCCUAACCAAUUGGAACCGUGUCAGGCAGACAGUUUCUCUGGGGCAGAGGCCUCCCAAAGAGUAACUGGAGGCGUGCAAAGGUUCCCUCAGGCUGGACGGGAAUCAGUUAGAGAGUGUAAACGGCAGAAGGGAGCUUGACUGCAAGACCAACAAGUCAGAGCAGGGACGCACGUCGGCCUUAGUAUCCGACGGUGCGGGUGGAUAGGGCCGUCCGCUCUACUCGGAUACAAAGUUACCCUAGGGGGAGGUAACAGGCUAUUAUGCUA
rnacentral:rRNA from 1 species